UCCGGGCGCCAGUGCGUGCGCCUUGUAAUCCAAGUGCUGGGAGGCUUCGGUGGCGGAUUUUUGAGAUCAGGAGUUUGAGCUCAGUGGACUAUGCGAUCGGGUGUCGCACUAAGUUCGGUUCGAUAUGGUGCUCCUGGUGGAGCCCUGGGAACCCCAGGUGUCUAGGAGGGGUGCACCGGCCCAGGUCGGAAACGGAGCAGGCCAAAGCCCCCGUUCCGCUAGUAGAGUGGGAUCGCGCGUGAAUAGACGCUUUAGUGCCCAGCCUGAGGCAAUACCGCGGGACCCAGUCUUUU
rnacentral:SRP_RNA from 1 species